rnacentral:rRNA from 1 species
UACCAAGGGACCUAUAUUCACCUCGGAAUUACUGACCUGUCAAUUAGUAUGUGAUGUCCUCUAUUACUCAUAUAAUGUAGUGACAGCCCUACAGACUUAGACUUUGGAGACUUGCAAUUAUGACUAUUUAUCUAUAUCAUGAUAUAGCAGACCUUAGUACGUAGUGUAGAGGUGAAAUUCGAACAUAUUAUGUAAAACACCAGAUGACAAGACGUCUUUCUGGAUUUUUACUGACUCAGAGAUACGAAACUAUGUAUAGCGAACAGGAGUAUAUACCCUCGUAGUCCAUACCAUAAACGAUGAUUAUUAGAUGUGGGGAAUCAUUUCUCUGCAUCAUAGGUAGCCCGUCAAAUAAUCCCCCUCGGGAGUACGACCACAACGCUAAAUCUCAAACGAAUGGUCGGCGGGACGCCCAAGCGGUGGAGCAUUUGGUUUAAUUCGUAGCAACGCGCAGCACCUUACCACCCCUGGACAUGUUCGUCGCGAGUCUAAGAAAUUAGUCUCUUCGGUUCGUCCGGACGAAACACAGAUGCUGCAUGGCUGUCGUCACCUCGAGUCGUGAGAUUCUGGGCGUACAGUCUCGCAACGAGCGCAACGCCCACGUUUACAGGGCAUCAGGUUAUCCUGGGCUCUCUAAUAGAUCGUCCUGGGAUAUCCAGGAGGAAGCAGCGGAUGGCGUCAAGUCCUCAUGGUCUUUACGGGAUGGGCUCCACUCGUCCUUCAAUCGUAAGUUCAAUGAGAUCCCGACCCGCGAUGGUUAGCCAAACUCAAAAACUUAAAUCAGUUUGGACUGCACUCUGCAACUCGAGUGCAUGAAGCUGGAAUCCGUAGUAAUUGCGGAUCAUCGUUCCGCGGAGAAUUCGUCACCGGGUUU